GCCUACAGCCAUACCACCCUAAAUGCACCCGAUCUUGUCUGGUCUUGGAAACUAGGCAAGGUCGGGCCUGGUUAGUACUUCGAUGGAAGAGAAAUGUAGAAAAUGUAGCUA
rnacentral:rRNA from 1 species